rnacentral:rRNA from 1 species
UGGGGAAUUUUGGACAAUGGGCGAAAGCCUGAUCCAGCAAUGCCGCGUGUGUGAAGAAGGCCUUCGGGUUGUAAAGCACUUUUGUCCGGAAAGAAAUCCUCUGGGUUAAUACCUCGGGGGGAGUGACGGUACCGGAAGAAUAAGCACCGGCUAACUACGUGCCAGCAGCCGCGGUAAUACGUAGGGUGCAAGCGUUAAUCGGAAUUACUGGGCGUAAAGCGUGCGCAGGCGGUUUUGUAAGACGGACGUGAAAUCCCCGGGCUUAACCUGGGAACUGCAUUCGUGACUGCAAGGCUAGAGUAUGGCAGAGGGGGGUAGAAUUCCACGUGUAGCAGUGAAAUGCGUAGAGAUGUGGAGGAAUACCGAUGGCGAAGGCAGCCCCCUGGGCCAAGUACUGACGCUCAUGCACG